CUGUUUCGAGAGUCGCCCGGCAGGGAUGCCGGGCGAGCCGUGUUGGGCCAUGGAUGGCCCGUCACGGCGUGCUCUCGAAACAG
rnacentral:sRNA from 1 species